rnacentral:tRNA from 1 species
GCCCCCUUAGUACAAAGGCUAGUACAGUAGUUUUGUAAACUUCAGGUGACAGUUCGAUUCUGUCAGGGGGCU